rnacentral:rRNA from 1 species
UACCUGGUUGAUGCCUGCCAGUAGUCAUAUGCGUUGUCUCAAAGAUUAAGCCAUGCAUGUCUCAGUAUAAGUCUCUAUACGGCGAAACUGCGAAUGGCUCAUUAAAACAGUUUUAGUCUAUUUGAUGGCCAAAUUUCUAUAUGGAUAACUGUGGAAAUUCUAGAGCUAAUACAUGCGAACAGACCCGACUUCGCGGAAGGGUUGUGUUUAUUAGAUACAGAACCAAUACCUUCGGGUUUUUGGAGGACUCAUAGUAAACGAACGGAGCGCGUUGGCAUGAGCCGGCGCCAGAUCAUUCGAGAUUCUGACCUAUCAGCUUUCGACGGUAGUGUAUUGGACUACCGUGGCAUUGACGGGUAACGGAGAAUUAGGGUUCGAUUCCGGAGAGGGAGCCCGAGAAACGGCUACCACAUCUAAGGAAGGCAGCAGGCGCGCAAAUUACCCAAUCCCGAUGCGGGGAGGUAGUGACAAGAAGUAACAGAGCAAGCGUCUGAGACGUUUUGCUAUUGGAAUGAGUAGAAUUUAAAUCCCUUUUCGACUAUCAAUUGGAGGGCAAGUCUGGUGCCAGCAGCCGCGGUAAUUCCAGCUCCAAUAGC